CUACGGGACGCUCCAGUCGAGAAUCUUCCGUAAUGCACGAAAGUGUGACGGAGCGAUGCCGCGUGAUUGAUGAAGCGCUUAGGCGCGUAAAGAUCUUUUAUGAGGGAAGAAGUUUAUUGACGGUACCUCAUGAAUAAGGGGCUCCUAACUCUGUGCCAGCAGGAGCGGUAAUACAGAGGCCCCGAGCGUUACCCGGAAUCACUGGGCGUAAAGAGUGUGUAGGCGGUUGUGUUAGUCGAUAGUUAAAGCCCGGAGCCUAACUCCGGAAUCGCUAUCGAAACGGCACAACUUGAGGAUGCGAGAGGUCUGUGGAACUCACGGUGUAGGGAUAAAAUCCGUUGAUAUCGUGGGGAACACCAAAAGCGAAGGCAGCAGACUGGCGCAUUUCUGACGCUGAGACACGAAAGCGUGGGUAGCGAACGGGAUUAGAUACCCCCGUAGUC
rnacentral:rRNA from 1 species